rnacentral:rRNA from 1 species
GUGGGGAAUCUUAGACAAUGGGGGCAACCCUGAUCUAGCCAUGCCGCGUGAGUGAUGAAGGCCUUAGGGUCGUAAAGCUCUUUCGCUGGGGAAGAUAAUGACGGUACCCAGUAAAGAAACCCCGGCUAACUCCGUGCCAGCAGCCGCGGUAAUACGGAGGGGGUUAGCGUUGUUCGGAAUUACUGGGCGUAAAGCGCGCGUAGGCGGAUUGGAAAGUUGGGGGUGAAAUCCCGGGGCUCAACCAUGGAAUGGCCUUCAAAACUCCCAGUCUUGAGGUCGAGAGAGGUUAGUGGAAUUCCGAGUGUAGAGGUGAAAUUCGUAGAUAUUCGGAGGAACACCAGUGGCGAAGGCGGCUCACUGGCUCGAUACUGACGCUGAGGUGCGAAAGCGUGGGGAGCAAACAGGAUUAGAAACCCUAGUAGUCC